rnacentral:rRNA from 1 species
GACGAACGCUGGCGGCGUGCCUAAUACAUGCAAGUCGAGCGCAGGAAACUGACGGAACUCUUCGGAGGGAAGGCAGCGGAAUGAGCGGCGGACGGGUGAGUAACACGUAAGGAACCUGCCUCAAGGAUUGGGAUAACUCCGAGAAAUCGGAGCUAAUACCGGAUAGUUCAUCGGACCGCAUGGUCCGUUGAUGAAAGGCGCUCCGGCGUCACCUUGAGAUGGCCUUGCGGUGCAUUAGCUAGUUGGUGGGGUAACGGCCCACCAAGGCGACGAUGCAUAGCCGGCCUGAGAGGGUGAUCGGCCACACUGGGACUGAGACACGGCCCAGACUCCUACGGGAGGCAGCAGUAGGGAAUCUUCCACAAUGGACGAAAGUCUGAUGGAGCAACGCCGCGUGAGUGAUGAAGGUUUUCGGAUCGUAAAACUCUGUUGUAAGGGAAGAACACGUACGAGAGGGAAUGCUCGUACCUCGACGGUACCUUACGAGAAAGCCACGGCUAACUACGUGCCAGCCGCCGCCGUAAAAC